UUUUUUUUCAAGGCUCUUGCUCUUUGACAAAAAAAAAAAAAAAAAAAGAUUGUUUCCCUUUGUUUGAAUAUUGUCUUCCUUUUGAAGAGCUUGAACCAGUGAACCCAAUGCCAUGAACAUCCCUAGAUGGCUUACUUUCAGAGAGGACUGUUUCAAAGUGAUCCAUUCCUGAAUUUAUAAUCGUUACAGAUUUACAAAACGACUCUUUCUCAACUCCAACUUUAUUGAGUUUACACUUCAACUCAAAGAUAACAGACAUGAGUGCAUCAGCUUGAUGAAGAUGAUGCAUUAGGAAAGAGUGAAGAAAAGGGAGAAAUGAAAGAUUGCAUAACCAACCUACAUUCCUUCUUUCAUACUUGUCGUUGUUCCCAACACAAGAGUCCGCUCAAGGUCUCUUUUCCUCUUUUAAGUAUUCAGCUGAUUUUACCUCAAUUGGAGACAGCCUUUGGGGGUACUUUUCCCUUUAGGGAUGUGCUAGCUUGGUGGGUCUUAUCGGCUAAGGCCAAAUAUCACACCAAGGUGAAUUAGCUCAUAUAACAAUUUUUUCUCAUUUCUAGUCAAGUUAAGACGAUCUAGUUUAAGCAAGAAGAAAGAACAAGUUUGGAAAAUUAUUGUUUAUAACCUAGAAAUGUUUUGGUUUCAAAAUUAAGGGCACUUUCUAUUUUUAACCUAGAAAAGUUUUUUCCUUUAAAAAAUGUUAGAGGUCUCGUGUUUGCUAUAUUUGUGUAAGAAUGUUUGGACUUUGUCCUUUGAGCAGUUUCACUGGUAUCUCUCUAGUGUUUGUUGGGUUUCUUCUGUCUCCCUAUGCGUUGGUAUUCAGCAAGGCGUGUCAUUUGCCCUUGAAGCUGGAGUAGAAAGCAUUGUGGGCAGUCAAGAAGCUGAAUUUUGAUUUAAAGAAAGCAGGGGAAGCACGUUAAAAAGAAUGGAAUGCCCUAGUUUAUUGUAUUCAUAUGUUUAUUGUACUCAUAUAUAAUAUUCAUUUCUCAUAGUUAAAUUCAACAUCUUUUGAUCCUACUAGGAAUUUUAGUCCAAGUGGGAGUUUGUUGGAUUUGGUUAUUUUGCCUUAAAAAAUAUUAGCCAAAGAGGAAGUUUGUUAGAGUUUUGUUAUUGGCUGUAUAUUGGUUUAAGGUUGAUAGUUUUGAUUUUGUGAAUGAUGUGAUGUUGUUAUAAAGUUG